GCUCUCUAGUGUCAGACAGCUUGUGUCCUCCACGGGCUCUUGGCUUCUCUGAGCGAUCUGUCGUAAGGAAGAGUAGCAAAGAAAGAGUUUUUCAGCUGGCAGUUAAUGAAGAGCACAAUGAAUGUCACAGUCAAGAACAGAAAGAAAAACAGGAUGAUAAGCUCCACCGCAGCGUCACUUGCUACCGUGGGAAGGGGAGAACUAUGCACAGUGGUGCCGACCGCUCUGCAGCCCGUGGUGCAUCUGGCAGUGACACGAUGCUAGAAAGGAAGAGAUCUCCUGAUAAAUCCCUCACAACGAUGCUCCCUGGGGCUGGCUCCUGCUCCAGCCUGCCACUACCCAAGAACAGGCACUGGGGCAUGGUCUGUCAGUGAUGGGAAGCUGUGGCUGUGUCUAUCAGACAGCAGAUGACAGGUCUUUUCGGUGUCAAGAUAGAAACCUGUAAAAUACAUGGAGCAUCUCAAAGCGGUGGCCUGCCCGUGGCGGGGAAUGGUCAAUCCUCAGCAGAGCCAAAGUUUCCAUCAGCUGAACUCUUAUGUCCCAGACUGAAUUCCAAAUACUCUCUGGAUGAUUCUCAGCAGCUCCACUUUCUGAAAAUGCCUGAUUCAAGGAUGAAAAUUGUCCUUCGAGUUAUGAGAAAGAAACACAACCCAGCACUGCCCUUCCUCAAGUAACCUGCAAACAAUUGCAGAAGCAUUGCUGCAUUUUGCUUCACAAGUGGUGUACUUGUACUCAUUGCCACACGUAUUGAGAGAAGUUUCUUUGUAAGAAGUAAGUGACAUAUAAUAAGUAACUCCUCUCUGAGCUUGCAGGAACCUCAGCAUCUUCCAUGGCAGCAGAGCCAAGUAGUGACAUCCUGUUCACCUGCGUUCUCACCAAGGAAUUUUACGGAACUCCUUGACCACGAGGUGACUCUGUGGCUCUGUGAUGGAGGGACGAUAACCAGAUCCCUUUUGGUCCCACUGCUCUGGGCUUCUCAUGGUCAGCCAUAAGGGUGAGAAAAGGUGCAAGAAGAAGAGAGUUUGGGAUAGACAAGGAAUUUUUUCCUAGCACCAUCCAGGGCCAUCUUGAUCCUCUAGAACUGGGUGUUCAUCCAAUACCCGGUUGGCUGGGUUAAAAAGUCUGGUGUGGUAUGCAAAAGCAAGUGAAGGGCACUGGGUUAUAGCUCAAACCACAGUCUACCAUGGGAGUUCAUUUGUCAAUAGUGGGUCACAUGCUGCUUGCUUCCUUAUUUUGAGCUGUUCCUUACUCUGCAGUUGAGUUCAUUGAUUUCAUCAGGGCUACUCACACUGUUAUGUACAAACUGUUGUAAGUAAGGAUAAAACAAUUGUACCCUAAUCCCCCAACUGUGUUUCAGACCUCUUUGUCCAUCCCCUAAAAUUUUGAUGUCAUCUAAUCAGGCUGAAAAAAUGAAUUGUGUAAAAAAUCUUGGACUUAGCUAUAAGACUUAUAUAUAUAUAAAAAAUAUAAGUAUAUAUAUAAAAUAACUAUGAAACUAUCUCUCAAAAUGCUGCAGACUCACUUUUCAAUAUGCAAUUUUCAUUCUAUUGAAUUUUUUGACAUAUGGUUAUGUAAAGCAUCUAAUAGCAAACUCUAUCCAUUUCCACCUUCCAGAAGGCAGUAACUUCAGGAGUUAAUGUGAGAUUAUUUUUAGCAUGUAUUCAAGUUUAUUCAUGCUGAAAGGUGGUACUUAUCUUUUGUAAUUUUAGAGUAGUUAUUUGAAUAAAAACAUGAGUGUGGUUCUAUUUUAACUGCCAUGUGACAUUUGGGAGCUAGUUAAAACCUCACCCAAGAUGCAAAAAUCUCAACAUUUUUAAUUUGCAACGUCUCAGUGGUACACAAAAUACCUGUACAUGUGUUUGGACCUAUGUCUGUAAAUGCAUAAGAUAUGAGUAAUCUCCUUUAUGCUAAGAGAAUAUUAUACCAUAAACAAUGAAAACAUCCAUCGGCCAGAAUAAAGUGCAAUUUUCAGUGUUCUUUGU
rnacentral:lncRNA from 1 species